rnacentral:rRNA from 1 species
CUUGGUCNAUUUAGAGGAAGUAAAAGUCGUAACAAGGUCUCCGUUGGUGAACCAGCGGAGGGAUCAUUACAGAGUUGCAAAACUCCCUAAACCAUUGUGAACGUUACCUUUACCGUUGCUUCGGCGGGCGGCCCGGGUCCUGCCCGGCGCCCCUCGGCCCUCGCGGGCGCCCGCCGGAGGAAAACCAAACCAUUGCAUUGUAUGGCCUCUCUGAGUCUUCUGUACUGAAUAAGUCAAAACUUUCAACAACGGAUCUCUUGGUUCUGGCAUCGAUGAAGAACGCAGCGAAAUGCGAUAAGUAAUGUGAAUUGCAGAAUUCAGUGAAUCAUCGAAUCUUUGAACGCACAUUGCGCCCGCCAGUAUUCUGGCGGGCAUGCCUGUUCGAGCGUCAUUUCAACCAUCAAGCCCCCGGCUUGUGUUGGGGACCUGCGGCUGCCGCAGGCCCUGAAAACCAGUGGCGGGCUCGCUGUCACUCCGAGCGUAGUAGUUUACAUCUCGCUCAGGGCGUGCUGCGGGUUCCGGCCGUUAAAAGCCUUAUUUACCCAAG